CCCCUCCCCGCUUCAUCCCUCAUAAGGUUAAAACACUAAACAGGAUUGCAGAGACCCAGCAGGACAAUGGAGUCAGGGAUGUCUCAUUCCUCGGGGCUCUUCUCAAAUAUCUUCUGCUGUGCCCCCUUACCAACUGAAAGAUAAUUUCUCCCAUUGUGCCAGUUGAGUGGGGCACAACUUAGGGGACAGUCUGAAGCUGUAACCUGGCUUUACAAUCCCAGCCUGCUUCCCUCCCUGCCCUCAGAUAAAGUCUGUGGCAAAGACAGUGAACUAAGAUCUAGGGUGAUUGACAGAGUAGAGUUGCUAGGCCAGUUUCCAAGAGAUGGAAACAAGAAGGGCAAAGUCCCUAUUUAAAGCUUGCUGUCUAAAUGAGAUUUCUGAUAACAAGCUAAUGGAUUUCCCCUAAAUGACAUUGACUGACAGCCAAGUAAAUUUUAAGGGAUUGCCAGAAAGCCUUUAGCCUUGCAAAAGGCCUCUACUGCUGUGCUGUCUCAAAGACAACAUCUGGGAUCUGCAGAAAGAUGAAUUCAGUUGCCAGGGAAGUCCCAGGAAAUUCCUUUUCACUACUUCUCUAAAGGACAGCCUUUGAGGAUAAUAGAUAAAGGAAAUCUUGGCACUUUGAGUGACUGACAAGAGAUCUCAGUUUGCUCCUGGAGAAGAGAAGUCCUUCUUACACUUAUUCUACAUUAUACAGUAUAUGCUCAACCAUGGCACAGUGAGUCUCCUUUUUGCCCUUUCUUAUUAGGUUUUGUUAUCCUGUUCCCCACCCCCCUCUAUUAUAUAUUUGUGCAUUGGGGAAAAAAUCCAUUAUCAUUAUCAUUUAGCUAGAUCUGGACCUUAUCAAGAUUGGCUACACUCAAAGAUCCUGAAUUUGGGCUGCAGGUGACAUUGAGUUUUCCUCUAGCAUUGGGUAGGGAUUGAGUACAUUGUCAAUUGCAUAAGGGAUAGUUGCUUUAUGUUAAGAGAAACUACAGCUAUGUGAAAACCAGUGUGUGUGUGUGUGUGUGUGUGUGUGUGUGUGUGUGUGUGUGCGCGCGCAUGCACUGAACAGCCAAAGGGUAACAUGUAGGGAACAUUUAUUGGUUUGUCAGCCAAGAACACCUCUCUUCUUUUGGGAAAAGUACUUACACCUCUUAUUUGGAGAACUAUGUUUGCUCUUUACCUACCUCCAAUCUAAUGUGGCUCCAAGUGGGAGUUGUGAUUGCUAGUGGUUUCUUCUAGAUGUACAGGGACUUGGAAAGGAAUAAGAUUGGAAGUUUGGUGACGAGGUAGUGUGGGGAAGAGGUAUAUAGAUAAGUUUCUUUUCAUGAGCACAAACUGUGAAGAUCCGUGUGUACCAUUUGGAUACACGCUACAGGUACCCAUUGCAGAGGAGACUUUAAUAAUCAGGUGGGUGAAAUGGCACUGUCUCUGGAUGUCAGGCAGCCUCUUUGCUUAGCCACCCAGGGCUUGCUCAGUGGGCCCUUGAACAAAGUGGCCAUGGUGGUGGGGAUGCAGGCUAUGUAUACGCUCAACAAUCUGAAUGUCUCCUUACUGAGGCUCCCCUUGCUGACACUGCUGUCAAGAGAGAGAGCAGAAAACAACACCGAGUCCUUGAUCUGGCCCCCUUUCCCUGGGCUACUAAAAACAGCUGUCUGACGGCAGAUUGAUCGUACCGGACCUCUUCCACCUUUGAGGGGGCAAAGAUUCAUCCUUAUUGGAGUACUCCUGUACCCUGAAAAUGGAUAGUCUUUGCUGCUCAUAAUGUUUCUGCCUGCAGCACCUAGUGUUUGUGAACUCACAAAAUGGUGUGCCAUCUACCAGCAGUGCAUUCCACACGGCACCGCAUCCGAUCGGGGAACUCAUUUCAUGGCAAAGGAAGUGCAGCCAUGCGUCCAUGCAUAGGAAAUUAACGGGCCUUACCACAUUCCCCUUCGAUUGAAAGCAGCCGGCUGAACUGAACAGUGAAAUGACUUACUGAAGCCUCAGCCAUAGCCCAGCUGAGAGGCAACACCCUGGAAAGAAAUGAAAGCCUGUCUUACAGGAUACGUUUUGCAUCAGAGACCAUCACAUGGUACCCUCGCUUCCAUAGCCAGAACACAUCAGAAUCAAGGAUUGUGGGUGAUCAUCUUCAAUGUUCAGAUGCUCCGUCUCAGCCCAUGGUGUUUGGCAGAAACCAGUGGUUUUUCAGAACAUUGGAAGCUGCCCACAACUGGCACUAGUGGAUUUUUUGUCACUUCAAAGCACCUAUGGACAGUCCUUUGCUUUUCCAUACAAGAGUAAGCUUAGGAAUGCUUUGCCUCAUUCUAGGUCAGGCUGCCUGCAGAUAUAGACCCUUUCCUCUGCUGCCUUAUUGCCAGUUACAUUAAAUACAAUAUGUAAAAAGAUUUUAUUAAUACUGUACUGUAGUCAACACCCAUGAGAGUGUAUACAAUGGCCCCCAUGCAGAAAAGGGUUGAAAAGAAAGGCAGUUACGAGAAGGAAAUGAUCACAGUGGAAGUUAAGAAGGAAAUCAUCGAGAGGUACAAACGAGGUCUGCAAGUGGCCAAAACUGCAAAAUUUUGUAAGAAAUCUACGUCUGUAUCUCGUCUGUAGAGGAGGAGGAGAAAAAGGUGGAGGAAUCCCUCACUUCAGAUGAGAUUAGGGAGAUGUAUAAAACGUGGGGAAGAGUACACAAUUUUGUAGGAAAGGACUACGCAAAAAAGGCUGAGCAGUGUGAGCAAUGAAUCUGUUUAAUAACAAUGCAAUGUCACAUUUUCACGAAAUCCUCAAAAGGAAGCAAAAGCCGUGUGUCAUUGGACAGGUUCCUUGUUAAAGUUGCAUGAAAAGAAAAAAGAUUCCAUUGAGCCAAUAGACAGCAGUGAUUCCGUUAGUGAGACUGAAAGUGUGAAAACUGUCCUACACAAUAACCCUCCUCUCUCUUGUCUCCCUCACACCGGCCAUGAAGCUUUUCAAAGAAAACUACUAAAAAUCCUGGGUGAAAAAUCCAGAAGCCUUUCUUGGAAGCACAUACUGAAAAGAGAAUAAGAGACUCUGAGACCAAAAUUAAGAAAAAGGAAGAACCUGGAAAGGUCAAUAGUCAUCAGAAGGUGUUUUUGCUCGGUCCUUGAGGAGAGGAGAUUGUGCAACUACUGAAGAGGAAGACCCAGGCUGGAGAUCAGGAAGGGGACAUCUGUUUCCAGUGUGUAACACAAGAUCCUCGACACUUAGUGAUGGUGCAUGGAAUGCAAUGAGCUACUGCGGACCAUCGUUCUAAAAUACGUUAUUUUUCACAGUUUUACAUUUCUAAAAUCGGGAUGCAUCUUAACAUUUAUCUCUUCGGGGCGCCUGGGUGGCUCAGUCGGUUAAGCAUCUGACUUGGGCUCAGAUCAUGAUCUCACAGUUCACGGUUCAAGUCCCACGUCAGGCUCUGUGCUGACAGCUCGGAGCCGGGAGCCUAUUUUGGAUUCUGUGUCUCCGUCACUAUCUGCCCUUCCC